UCAGGCCUAACACAUGCAAGUCGAACGAUGAAGCUGGAGCUUGCUCCGGUGGAUUAGUGGCGAACGGGUGAGUAACACGUGAGCAAUCUGCCCUUGACUCUGGGAUAACUCCGAGAAAUCGGUGCCAAUACCGGAUAUGACCUUGGAAGGCAUCUUCUGAGGUGGAAAGUUUUUCGGUCAAGGAUGAGCUCGCGGCCUAUCAGCUUGUUGGUGAGGUAACGGCUCACCAAGGCAACGACGGGUAGCCGGCCUGAGAGGGUGACCGGCCACACUGGGACUGAGACACGGCCCAGACUCCUACGGGAAGCAGCAGUGGGGAAUAUUGCACAAUGAGGGAAAGCCUGAUGCAGCAACGCCGCGUGAGGGACGAAAACGUUCGGGUUGUAAACCUCUUUUAGUAGGGAAGAAGCGCAA
rnacentral:rRNA from 1 species